UUAAUAUUUUAAAUAAAAAACCGACACGGCAACACUAAAAACAAAUUAUAUUCUAAGAGAUUCAUGAGACAGUACCUGAUCGCCUACAAUAUAUUUCAAAACGUUAUAUCAAUGCAAUUCACCAAUCAAAAUUAUGAACACCGUAUGAGCAAAAGUGAAUAGUUGUUGUGAAGUACAAGUAAAAUAAAUAAAUGAAAAGAGGAACAGCUGAGUGAUUCCAGUACAACUCAUAACAGCAAAGUAGUAAUCGAGGAAAAAAACCGUCGAGCAGCACCUAUCAACAAGUACACUCACCAUAAGACAAAGUAACCUAUCAUAGUGGAAAAAAGGAAUUGAAGCAAUGAACAGAAUAUUAAUUAAUUUUUUGAUACAUAACACGUUAGAUUAGCAAAAACCAUUUUGUAUUAAUAGUCUAUACAAAACAUGUCCUUUUUAGAUUUUGGAAAAACUAGUGCAUCGAACCAACACUUUUCAGAACUCUCUAAAAUAGCAAUAUCAUGGUAUAUAAACACAGGAAUCCCAAUAACUACCAACACCACUUACAGAGAGACACAGGAACUACCGCAGUAAAAACUACAGCAGUAACCACUCAUAUACUAUCAAAUGUGAACUAAAUUUUUCUCAAAGGUUUCAAUCUGAAGAUAUAAGUGAACGUAACAUUGAAUGAACAAGAAGGGACUACAAUGUUUUUAAUAACUUGUUGGGGAAUUAGGAGACAAAAAUUAAUCGUAUUUCAUUUUAGAUACUCAAGAUAAAAAAGCUGGAUAUUUUCAGCAAAACGUUAAAAGCAACAAAGCAAAUACAGAGGAAAUAACACAUUUAGCAGCACCAAUCCACAAGUACAUGAGCCAAAAACAAGGAAAACAAGAGUGGAAGCCAUGAUCAAAACAACCUGCAGAAUAUUAUUUUAUUCUUUUGAUAAAAAAACCCGUAACAUAAGCCAUAACCGUUUUAUAAAAUUAUUUUAUACACAUUAUAUUUCUAUAGGAUUAAGGUAAAAAUCAAAACUAAAUUUCAUAUCAAAAUAAUUAUGUGUGGAAAUACACAAUCUUAAUUCAACUUCAAAUAACAAACCCACUUUUCAUCGCACACAUUUGAAACAAUUAACAUUAAAAUUAUUUUUUAAUAAAUGUAAUUUUAAUACUACUUUUUGAACAAUCUGAUAAUAUUUAAUUUGAAAUAACGUAAAACCUUAUUAAUAAUAUGUGUGUAAACAUACCUACUUCAAUUUGAAUUUUCUAAUAAAAAAUAAUAUUAUCAUUUCACACAAUUGUAACAAUAACCAAAUGAUCAUUUUUAAAUGUAGAGUAACUAUAAUCUAACUUUUUGAAUAAAUUGACAAUGUAGAAUGUAAAAAACUACAAUUUUCUUUUUAAUCCUUAGUAAAUGUGUGAACAUACCUCAAUUUAAAUUUCCUAAUUAAAAAUAAAGUUUUCAUUUGACACAGUUGAAACAAUAACCAUUCGAAUCAUUUUAAAAUUUAGAGUAACUAUAAUGUAACUUUUUGAGCGUAAUGAUAAUAUU